GACGAACGCUGGCGGCGUGCCUAAUACAUGCAAGUCGAGCGCAGGAAACUGACGGAACUCUUCGGAGGGAAGGCAGUGGAAUGAGCGGCGGACGGGUGAGUAACACGUAAGGAACCUGCCUCAAGGAUUGGGAUAACUCCGAGAAAUCGGAGCUAAUACCGGAUAGUUCAUCGGACCGCAUGGUCCGUUGAUGAAAGGCGCUCCGGCGUCACCUUGAGAUGGCCUUGCGGUGCAUUAGCUAGUUGGUGGGGUAACGGCCCACCAAGGCGACGAUGCACAGCCGACCUGAGAGGGUGAUCGGCCACACUGGGACUGAGACACGGCCCAGACUCCUACGGGAGGCAGCAGUAGGGAAUCUUCCACAAUGGACGAAAGUCUGAUGGAGCAACGCCGCGUGAGUGAUGAAGGUUUUCGGAUCGUAAAACUCUGUUGUAAGGGAAGAACACGUACGAGAGGAAAUGCUCGUACCUUGACGGUACCUUACGAGAAAGCCACGGCUAACUACGUGCCAGCCGCCGCGGUAAGAC
rnacentral:rRNA from 1 species